CUGAAACCUUGGUGAUAUAUGUAACCUUUCAGUCAGCUUAAUCCAUAGGAAUGGCAGUGCCAGUUUUCUCCUACUGCCCAGCAAUGUACCUCCAUCUUGAUCUGGAUGGAUCACUUCUAGGGAUCAGAUGGUAUUUCAUUUCCCAUUCUCGGUUGAUUCUUGGCCUCU
rnacentral:sRNA from 1 species